rnacentral:misc_RNA from 1 species
GCCAUGUACAUGUUAGAUGAAGGCAAAUGCUGCUGGUCAAUAGUGAUUAACAAAUGAAAGGGCGGGGGGCAUUGGGAAACUUGCAAAGAGCGGGUCCUGGAAAAUAAAUGAAGCUUGCUUUUUGUUACGAUGACGACGUUGACAACGAUCUUUUAACGGAGCAGCAGAUUAACUGUGGUUUUUAUUGAAGGCACUGAUGUGCGUGCUCCUCCAAAGUAAUUACCAAUUGGUUUGAGAAAGCAAUUCUUUUGGUUAGAAUGCUCACCAUUCAAAUGAGUUUCAAUUCGGGUAGAAUACACAAGGUUGAUAACAGAAAUGAG